rnacentral:rRNA from 1 species
GACAGAGGGUGCAAACGUUGUUCGGAAUUACUGGGCGUAAAGCGUGCGUAGACGGUUAUUUAAGUCGGAUGUGAAAGCCCCGGGCUCAACCUGGGAAUUGCAUUCGAGACUGAAUAGCUAGGGUACGGUAGAGGGAAGUGGAAUUUCCGGUGUAGCGGUGAAAUGCGUAGAGAUCCGGAAGAACACCAGUGGCGAAGGCGCUCUGCUAGGCCGCAACUGACACUGAGGGACGAAAGCUAGGGGAGCGAAUGGG